rnacentral:rRNA from 1 species
GACGAACGCUGGCGGCGUGCUUAACACAUGCAAGUCGAACGGAAAGGCCCGGCUUUUGUGGGGUGCACGAGUGGGGAACGGGUGAGUAACACGCGAGUAACCCGCCAUAGCCUUUGGGAUAUCUACAUGAAACCGGGGCCAAGACAGGAUAGGAGCUUCUACCGCCUGGUGGGGGUUGGAAAGUUUCGUCGGUUGGGGAUGGAUUCGCGGCUGCUCCGAUUGUUCGUGGGGUAGUGGCUUACCAAGGCUUUGACGGGUCGCCGGCCUGAGAAGAUGACCGGCCAAAUGAGGACGGAGAUGCGGCCCAGACAACUACGGGAGGCAAGGGUGGGGUAUAUUGCACAAUGAGCGGAAGACUAAUGCAACAACGCCACGUGCGGGAAGACAGCCAUCGGUUUGUAAUCCGCAUUCGCCUGUGACGAAGCGUGAGUGACGGUAACGGGUGAAGAAGCACCGGCUAACUACGUG